AGGAGCCAUCACUGGUGCUAUUGGACCUAUAAUGCAAUUCACAGCACCUAUCCCUGGAGCUACAGGACCUAUCAAGCUCUCUCAAAAAACCAUUGUGCAAACUCCUGGACCUAUUGUGCAGUACACGGGAUCCAGUGCCGAAACUCCAGAAACGACCC